rnacentral:rRNA from 1 species
UGGAAAUCAUUCAUAGAGUGUAAAGGCAUAAGGGAGCUUGACUGCGAGACCUACAAGUCGAGCAGGGUCGAAAGACGGACUUAGUGAUCCGGUGGUUCCGCAUGGAAGGGCCAUCGCCCAACGGAUAAAAGCUACCCCGGGGAUAACAGGCUUAUCUCCCCCAAGAGUUCACAUCGACGGGGAGGUUUGGCACCUCGAUGUCGGCUCAUCGCAU